rnacentral:rRNA from 1 species
AGAGUUUGAUUAUGGCUCAGGAUGAACGCUGGCGGCGUGCUUAACACAUGCAAGUCGAACGGAGUUUAAGUGGAAGUUUCGGAUGGAAGUUAAAAACUUAGUGGCGGACGGGUGAGUAACGCGUGGGUAACCUGCCUCAUACAGGGGGAUAACAGUUAGAAAUGACUGCUAAGACCGCAUAAUAUAGCGAAACCGCAUGAUUUUGCUAUCAAAUAUUUAUAGGUAUGAGAUGGGCCCGCGUCUGAUUAGCUAGUUGGUGGGGUAAAAGCCUACCAAGGCGACGAUCAGUAGCCGGCUUGAGAGAGUGACCGGCCACAUUGGGACUGAGACACGGCCCAAACUCCUACGGGAGGCAGCAGUGGGGAAUAUUGGACAAUGGGGGAAACCCUGAUCCAGCGAACCGCCGCGUGAGUGAAGAAGUAUUUCGGUAUGUAAAGCUCUAUCAGCAGGGAAGAUAAUGACAGUACCUGACUAAGAAGCCCCGGCUAACUACGUGCCAGCAGCCGC